rnacentral:rRNA from 1 species
UACGAAGGGGGCUAGCGUUGUUCGGAAUUACUGGGCGUAAAGCGCGCGUAGGCGGCUUUGUCAGUCAGGGGUGAAAUCCCGGGGCUUAACCUCGGAACUGCCCUUGAUACUGCAAGGCUUGAGUCUGUGAGAGGAUGGUGGAAUACCCAGUGUAGAGGUGAAAUUCGUAGAUAUUGGGUGGAACACCAGUGGCGAAGGCGGCCAUCUGGCACAGUACUGACGCUGAGGUGCGAAAGCGUGGGGAGCAAACAGG